rnacentral:rRNA from 1 species
UACGGGGGGGGCAAGCGUUGUUCGGAAUUACUGGGCGUAAAGGGCUCGUAGGUGGCCAACUAAGUCAGACGUGAAAUCCCUCGGCUUAACCGGGGAACUGCGUCUGAUACUGGAUGGCUAGAGAUUGGGAGAGGGAUGCGGAAUUCCAGGUGUAGCGGUGAAAUGCGUAGAUAUCGGAAGGAACAUCAGUGGCGAAAGCGACUUCCUGGACCAAUACUGACGCUCAUGUGCGAAAGCGUGGGGAGCAAACAGG